GUUCCAACGUGCUUGAGUGGCUUGGUUCAGAUCGGAUCAAAGACCAUAUAAUUGUAACAUCAUUCUCGGUGAGACGCAACUGGGACCGCCUCACGCAACAGUCCAAAAGUGAACUUUACCGGGAAUUUGGAUACCUAGAAGGACUUCGAGUUUUCAUGAACCUAUGGGUUAUGGCCACGCACAUUAUUAUGUUUGUAGGGUAUAUGCCUAUGGGUAGCCCCGAAUUUGCAGAAAAUUUAAUGAAGAACCCUUUGAUGAUAGACGUAUCCACGGCAAG